AUAAUACCCUUUUUCUCACUGAAACUCAGCACCCAUCAUCUUCCCCAACAGGACAUAUACGUCAUCUUCUUCACCCAUCUAUGGCGGAUCUCCGUCAAGCUGUCGUCCGACUUCGAGACCACGUGCGCCACAAACUGAUGGUCUCUCACCGACGCAAGCGAGGCUCAGAAAUUUCAAGAUCUAAGAAGUUAUAAUGAAAUCCUCACUCACAAAUGGCAGCUGCAGCCGCAGCCCCCUCCAUCUUCAUCUCCUCCGAGUCCUAACCAUGAGCAACUCCAAGAGCUGAGAGAUCUCCCAGCUAUGGCUGGACCUCCAUCUCGUUGCCAACCUCCGCUGUGGACUCUGCUACUUCUCCAAGUUCCACUCAACCUGUUACUUCAAGUCCACUGAUGGCCACAACAACAACUGGUCAUUCGACUAUUCUCACCUUAAUCUCCCUGUACUCGCUCACCUUGCUGCAAAACGUGACAUUUCCAGAUGACCAUACGACCUAGGUCAUCAUCGCCUCCUCCGAUCAGUCGUCGGGCUUCUCUGAUCAGUGUUGUACGCCUCUGAUUAUCCUCUCCACGAUCAUCCAUCUCAUCUCAGGCUUUGGCUUCGGGGAUUUUCCAAAUCAACACCGCCGUCUCUUCCUUCUUCCGCCUCAUCAAUUCCCUUGGCACCCCCAAAGAUACUCUUCAACUUCGAGAAAAACUACACAAAACGAGGAACCAUAUCACACAAUUGGUGAUGGAGACUUCAUCCAAACUCAGUCAAGCCAGUGAGGCCGAUCACCAACAUAAUAAUCAAAUUACU